rnacentral:misc_RNA from 1 species
GCCUUAUUUGGUUCAAAUGAACUACUCCAUGAAUAUUUUAUUCUCGAAAGUAAAUUGCCUAAUUUAUGUUAAAUAAUGAAAAGUGGAGAUAAAAUAGCAUUUUAUUUUUCAUGAAGUGAAUAUUUACUCUCAACCAAACAAAUCAAUUUUUUUUGCAUUUCCUAAUAACUUGAAGUUUUCCUAAUUCACUUACCUCCAAUCAAACAAGAGUUGUGCAUAGAAGUCAGCUUCGAUUAACUAAACCGAACUAAAUCGAAUUUUGAGUUAACCAAAAUUAUAGCAUACUCCAACUAUAUUAAACAAGAGUUGUGCAUACAAAGCAAGAUAUAUACACAAGAGCUCACCGUGGCCUGAUUCUG